rfam:Myotis brandtii contig254963, whole genome shotgun sequence.
AGGCCCAGAGAGAGAGGCAGGGUCUGUUCCACAGCCAUCGUGGCAGCUGUUGACCAGCCAUUUCCUCUCUCUUUCUCUCUG